GGUGUGGAGUCUGGAGCAGCCGUGGCCUGUUAGAACGUGUACCGCAGACUGGCAGGCAGUGGGCCACGCUCCAAGGUUAGCUGGCUAGGAGACAUGUUGGCUGGGCUCUGCAGAGGUUGCUGGUUCCCCAGCCCCUGGGCGCUCUGGCAGUUGUUACACAUGGUCUCCAGCCCCCUCUCCUGCUGCAGGAAGCUGCUCUUUACCCCCUGCUGGAUUAGAAAUGAGUCUAUCACUGUGCCAUUGACCCCUGCCGCGAUCCGGAAACGCCUCCCGUUUGCUGGCGUAUUGCAGCACCACCUGUUGUGGCUUUCUUCCUCCGAGGGCCCUUCAGCACAUCUGCUGGGACUUCAGAGCUGCGAGCUUCCCCAGAGCCGUGCCCUGCCCGUGCCAGCCAGGACUCCAAUGGUGUGCACUUCCCCACAGCAGGGCCUGACCUAUAAGGUGCAAACACUUCAGCGCCCAUGCAAGCCUUCCAGGCCCUUCCACCACACCAAGGAUUCUAGGCCCAGCACCAGAACCAAGGAAUUCUGCUUCCCAGAUCCCUGGAGUUAAGAAGAGAACCCAGGAGCCCGGCCUGUUCUGCAUACCCGGUCACGCCCCUUUCACAGACUAUGAAGUGAAAUGGUUAACACUGUUAAUAUGUUUGUGAGCUUUAAUUAGGCUUCCACAUUAACACUCCAUCAAGGAAAUUCACAUCUCCUCAUUUUUCAAUCUGUCUGCUGAUCCUCCCCACCUCCCCCCAGCCCAUAUUGGCUGGGCUGGGCUGGCUAUUAGGGUGCAGGAAACCAGACACUGUCCUGAGUUUGAAUGUAAAUGCUGAGACUCCGAUAGAGAACAGCUGAAAAAUCUGGCUGUGUGGAUUUGUAUUAUUGUAGCUGAUGGCUUGUCUCACCUUAUCUCCAUGUGCACAGAUAAUGAAUACCCCCUCCUUCGGAGAGAGAGUGAGUGUGAAAACACACAAUUAAAAUAGCCAUCUAUUUUCCAAGGGAA